UGGGGAAUAUUGGACAAUGGGGGAAACCCUGAUCCAGCCAUGCCGCGUGUGUGAAGAAGGCCUUCGGGUUGUAAAGCACUUUCAGUGGGGAGGAAAGGUUGUUGGUUAAUACCUAACAGCUGUGACGUUACCCACAGAAGAAGCACCGGCUAACUCCGUGCCAGCAGCCGCGGUAAUACGGAGGGUGCAAGCGUUAAUCGGAAUUACUGGGCGUAAAGCGUGCGCAGGCGGUCUGUUAAGCGAGAUGUGAAAGCCCCGGGCUCAACCUGGGAACUGCAUUUCGAACUGGCAGACUAGAGUCUUGUAGAGGGGGGUAGAAUUCCAGGUGUAGCGGUGAAAUGCGUAGAGAUCUGGAGGAAUACCGGUGGCGAAGGCGGCCCCCUGGACAAAGACUGACGCUCAGGCACGAAAGCGUGGGGAGCAAACAGG
rnacentral:rRNA from 1 species